rnacentral:rRNA from 1 species
CAGUAGCCGCGGGAAUACGAAGGUCCCGAGCGUUGUUCGGAAUCACUGGGCGUAAAGGGAGCGUAGGCGGCGUGGUAAGUCAGAUGUGAAAUCCCGGGGCUCAACCCCGGAACUGCAUCCGAUACUGCCAUGCUAGAGGAUUGGAGAGGUAGCUGGAAUUCUUGGUGUAGCAGUGAAAUGCGUGGAGAUCAAGAGGAACACUCGUGGCGAAAGCGAGCUACUGGACAAUAACUGACGCUGAGGCUCGAAGGCCAGGGUAGCGAAAGGGAUUAGAUACCCCUGUAGUCCCUGUCUCUUAUAA